UACGGAGGGUGCAAGCGUUAUCCGGAUUUACUGGGUUUAAAGGGUGCGUAGGCGGACAGGUAAGUCCGUGGUGAAAUCUCUGAGCUUAACUCAGAAACUGCCAUGGAUACUAUUUGUCUUGAAUACUGUGGAGGUAAGCGGAAUAUGUCAUGUAGCGGUGAAAUGCUUAGAUAUGACAUGGAACACCGAUUGCGAAGGCAGCUUACUAGGCAGAAAUUGACGCUGAGGCACGAAAGCGUGGGGAUCAAACAGG
rnacentral:rRNA from 1 species